CGCCGGCGGCGGCACCAACUGCAACAGCGAGGCCUCUUCUGGCUCGGGCGGUUACGCGGCUCCUUCGAGAGAAGGGGAUCUUCCUGGGCCCCAGAGUGCUUGAGGCCUUAUAACAGAUCCUUUGACGUCUCUACUAGGCUACGCUUUGACCAUAGGCAAGGGUAUUAUAAAACGUUUUGUUACUUUAUGUCAAAAAUGUGAACCUGUCAGAACCACUUGUAGUGGUACCCAUCAUUCAAGCUACAGCAGGGGAGGCUGAGGGAUGAGGAUCGCUUGAACCCAGUUUGCCAUGAUUAUGCAUGUGAAUAGCCACUAUACUCCAUCUUGAGUAGCAUAGUGAGUCCCAGUUUGAUAUAAAAAAAAAAGUCUAUUUCAUAUAAGUUAAAUGCACAUCUGCCCUAUGAGCCAGCAGUCCCACAUCUAGGUAUUUGUCCAGAGAAAUAAAAGCAUAUAUCGAUAAAAAGAGUUGCACAAAAAUAUCCCUAACAACUUUAUUUGUGGUUACCAAAAACGACAAACUGCCCAAAUGUCCAUCAUUAAUAAAGCAAUAUAUUAAUCUAAUCAGAUACAACUUAGCAACAAAAGGAAAAAAAACAUGGAUGAGUCUCAAAAACUUAGGAUGAUUUAUACUUUCUGGAGAUGAGGCCCUCGAAUCUCUACCUGAUGAUAACAAGCUCCCUAUAUGAUUCCUGUACAGCCAGCCUGGCACCAUGCAAGCAUAUCAGAAUUACACAUACCAUCCAACUUCAGCUUCUUGUUUGUAGAGAUGGAGCAACCGACUCUGGGACUUCUGAAGUCAUUGCCAAGAUUUACAAUAUUUGUUUUCUUACUCCCAAUUUCUAAACCAUUUAGCUACAAGCAGAUUGUCUUUGGUUUACCUAUGGGACUCUGCAGACAAAUAAUACCUGUUUUUUAUAGUUAAGAUACUUUGCAUGUCUGUUCUUAUCACCCACCAUCAUCAUACCACUAGUUCUCUACUAUAAUCGGGAGAGCUGCAAUGAGUUUUGGAACUCAGUACCCUAAAUAGUAAUACUGUUAUUGUAAAUGUUAAAGAUACAAAAUUAUGAAUAAGAGUCAUAAAUUGCAAUUAUAGGGACAAAUGUAGCAGCUGAUGGCUUUGCUAGUUGGGGGACAGAGGGAGCUGGGUUGCAGCAGGAACCAACCCUGGACAGCCAGGAGCUGGACUGGCACUAUUAGCUAUGCAUUUGUGGUACUGGCAGCUGUCUUGGCAUUCUCAGUUCUGAGUGUUUUAUCAAAUAUAAACAAUCUCACAAAACGUCA